GAUCGCAUUGUAAAACGGUAGCACACACAGCUAGUUACUGUGAAGUUCAGGUUCGAUUCCUGAUGCGGUCC